rnacentral:misc_RNA from 1 species
AACCUAGCACACCUGCGGUGUGUACCUGCGGAAGGAUCAUUAUCGUUGGGCUCCUGCCCAUUCGAGAUAACACCCUUGCCUUUUUGAGUACCUUUUCGUUUCCUCGGCAGGCACGCCUGCCAACGGGGACCCUUCAAAACGCUUUGUAAUACCUGUCAUUGUCUGAUAUAACAAGCAAAAAUCAAAACUUUUAGCAACGGAUCU